AAUCACAACGACCAAUGACGGCAAGUUUUGGUAUAAAUAUAAAAUUCCGUGUGCAAGUAUAUUUUUGACAAUAUCAAUUUUUCUGAAGUAAAGUCUAGCGAUGAAACUCGUCAUUUUUAUCUUACUUGUGGUCUGUUUAGCAGAAGCAGAAGCGAAUCAAGAUUGUACGCAGAUCUUAAAUAGUUCUUGUUCAAAUGGUGGUACAGCUGUAUGCGGAAGAGAUGAGUAUGGUGAUUUGGAAGAGUAUGAUAACUUUUGCUUUCUAAAGCAAGAAGAAUGCAGGCAGGGAAUCACCAUAACUGUCGUUAAACUGGGAACUUGCUAACUUGAUGCGAAGAUGUAAAUAAAUACAAACAAAAUCUUGUAUAUACAUGAUAUUAAAAAUUAAAAUAAAUUUGUCAAAAAAACUGUCUGGUGUGUUUCCUUCUGACGUGUUUUACAUAAUUAGUCUUUUUUGAAUACAUGUCGAAUUUGAUAUGUUCUGUAAAUUAUCGCUAGAGUAUUUUAUUUCAGCUGCUCUAUUUAGCCAAUAGAAAUAAAUAAAUAAAGACUGACCGAUUAGAUACCACAUACGUCGCGCAUCACACAUUGGUAUGCACGGAAAGAUGAAGUUUGCUUUGGUUUCACUUCUACUAUUUAUUUGUGCUGCUUAUACGCAUGCACAGUCUGAUUGCACAGCGGACUGUGGGAGCUCUUAUAUACCCUUAUGCGGAAGUGAUGGACACACACAUAACAACUAUUGCGAGUUGCUAAAGGCUGCUUGUAAAACAGGCACUGGUAUCACUGUACAAAAUCUUGGUUCAUGUCCUUGAUAGAUGACAAAAUUGGUAUGAUGUAUCGUGUAAAAUGAAAUAAAACUUCGUUGUAAA